rnacentral:misc_RNA from 1 species
UCUGGAGUCGCGAGUAACUCAGCUCGUUCGGUGAGCGAAAGCGUCUCGAGAUGUCGCCCGCACUUCCACACUCGAUCGUCUUCUUCUUCGUUCUUGAAGAAGUCUUUGCUCUUUGACAACUGAUGAGUGCGUGGUGUAGUGGUGUUUUAAGGAAUCACACCGAGAAGACUAUG